rnacentral:rRNA from 1 species
CGUAUGGUACGCGAUAUGCCUACCAUGGGUUGUAACGGGUACGGGGAAUCAGGGUUCGAUUCCGGAGAGGGAGCCAUGAGAAACGGGCUACCACAUCCAAGGAAGGCAGCAGGCGCGCAAAUUACCCACUCCCGACACGGGGAGGUAGUGCGAAAAAUAACAAUACGGGACUCUUUCGAGGCCCCGUAAUUGGAAUGAGUACACUUUAAAUCCUUUUAACGAGGAUCCAUUGGAGGGGCAAGUCUGGUGCCAGCAGCCGCGGUAAUUCCAGCUCCAAUAGCGUAUAUUAAAGUUGUUGCAGUUAAAAAGCUCGUAGUUGGAUCUCGGGUCCAGGCUUGCGGUUCGCCUCGCGGCGAUCACUGCUCGUCCUGACCUACCUCCCGGUUUUCCCUUGGUGCUCUUCGUUGAGUGCUUCGGGUGGCCGGAACGUUUACUUUGAAAAAAUUAGAGUGCUCAAAGCAGGCGGACUGCCUGAAUAAUAGUGCAUGGAAUAAUGGAAUAGGACCUCGGUUCUAUUUUGUUGGUUUUCGGAACUCGAGGUAAUGAUUAAGAGGGACAGACGGGGGC